AUACGGAGGGUCCAAGCGUUAUCCGGAAUCAUAGGGUUUAAAGAGUCCGCAGGCGGUCAAUUAAGUCAGAGGUGAAAGCCCAUCGCUCAACGAUGGAACUGCCUUUGAUACUGGUUGACUUGAGUUAUACGGAAGUAGAUAGAAUAAGUAGUGUAGCGGUGAAAUGCAUAGAUAUUACUUAGAAUACCGAUUGCGAAGGCAGUAUACUACGUAUAUACUGACGCUGGGGGACGAAAGCGUGGGGAGCGAACAGGAUUAGAAACCCUAGUAGUCC
rnacentral:rRNA from 1 species